UUGUAAGUGUUUAAGGGCGCAUGGUGGAUGCCUUGGCAUCAGAGGCCGAUGAAGGACGUGGGAGGCUGCGAUAUGCCUCGGGGAGCUGCCAACCGAGCGUGGAUCCGAGGAUGUCCGAAUGGGGAAACCCAGCACGAGUGAUGUCGUGUUACCCGUAUCUGAAUACAUAGGGUGCGGGGGGUAACGCGGGGAAGUGAAACAUCUCAGUACCCGUAGGAAGAGAAAACAAUUGUGAUUCCGUGAGUAGUGGCGAGCGAAAGCGGAGGAUGGCUAAACCGUAUGCAUGUGAUACCGGGUAGGGGUUGUGUGUGCGGGGUUGUGGGACCCAUCUUUCCAGUUCUAUCCGGCUGGAGGGCAGUGAGAAAAUGUCGUGGUUAGCGGAAGUGGCUUGGGAUGGCCUGCCGUAGACGGUGAGAGCCCGGUACGUGAAAACCCGAUGUCUGCCUUGUGUGGUGUUCCCGAGUAGCAGCGGGCCCGUGGAAUCUGCUGUGAAUCUGCCGGGACCACCCGGUAAGCCUGAAUACCUUCUGAUGACCGAUAGCGGAUUAGUACCGUGAGGGAAUGGUGAAAAGUACCCCGGGAGGGGAGUGAAAGAGUACCUGAAACCGUGUGCCUACAAUCCGUCAGAGCCUUCGUGUUAGAGCGUGGGGUGAUGGCGUGCCUUUUGAAGAAUGAGCCUGCGAGUCAGGGACAUGUCGCGAGGUUAACCCGUGUGGGGUAGCCGCAGCGAAAGCGAGUCUGAAUAGGGCGUAUCCACACAAGAGUGUGUGGUGUAGUGGUGUGUUCUGGACCCGAAGCGGAGUGAUCUACCCAUGGCCAGGGUGAAGCAGCAGUAAGAUGUUGUGGAGGCCCGAACCCACUUAGGUUGAAGACUGAGGGGAUGAGUUGUGGGUAGGGGUGAAAGGCCAAUCAAACUCCGUGAUAGCUGGUUCUCCCCGAAAUGCAUUUAGGUGCAGCGUUGCGUGUUUCUUGCUGGAGGUAGAGCUACUGGAUGGCCAAUGGGCCCUAAAAGGUUACUGACGUCAGCCAAACUCCGAAUGCCGGUAAGUGAAAGCGUGGCAGUGAGACGGCGGGGGAUAAGCUCCGUGCGUCGAGAGGGAAACAGCCCAGAUCGCCGGCUAAGGCCCCUAAGCGUGUGCUAAGUGGAAAAGGAUGUGCAGUCGCGAAGACAACCAGGAGGUUGGCUUAGAAGCAGCCACCCUUGAAAGAGUGCGUAAUAGCUCACUGGUCAAGUGAUUGUGCGCCGAUAAUGUAGCGGGGCUCAAGCGCACCGCCGAAGCCGCGGCAAUCAGACGUUCGCGUCUGGUUGGGUAGGGGAGCGUCCUGCAUCCGGUGAAGCCGCAGAGUGAUCUAGUGGUGGAGGGUGUGGGAGUGAGAAUGCAGGCAUGAGUAGCGAUAAGGCAAGUGAGAACCUUGCCCGCCGAAAGACCAAGGGUUCCUGGGCCAGGCCAGUCCGCCCAGGGUGAGUCGGGACCUAAGGCGAGGCCGACAGGCGUAGUCGAUGGACAACGGGUUGAUAUUCCCGUACCCGUGUGUGCGCGCCCGUGAUGAAUCAGCGGUACUAACCGCCCAAAACCGCGACAACCGGCGGCCUNNNNNNNNNNNNNNNNNNNNNNNNNNNNNNNNNNNNNNNNNNNNNNNNNNNNNNNNNNNNNNNNNNNNNNNNNNNNNNNNNNNNNNNNNNNNNNNACCUUCGGGUCUAUGGGGUUGUGGGGCUGCGCGGGAUCUUCGCUGGUAGUAGUCAAGCGAUGGGGUGACGCAGGAAGGUAGCCGUACCAGUCAGUGGUAAUACUGGGGCAAGCCCGUAGCGCGAGAUCUAGGCAAAUCCGGAUCUCAUUCAAGCGUGAGAGGUGAUGCAUAGCCGAGUGAGGCGAAUUCGGUGAUCCUAUGCUGCCAAGAAAAGCCUCUAGCGAGUGCAGACACGGCCCGUACCCCAAACCGACACAGGUGGUCAGGUAGAGAAUACCAAGGCGUACGAGUGAACUAUGGUUAAGGAACUCGGCAAAAUACCCCCGUAACUUCGGGAGAAGGGGGACCCCUUACUGUCAACACCCAAGCGGUGGGUAGCGGUGGGGGGUCGCAGAAACCAGUGAGAAGCGACUGUUUACUAAAAACACAGGUCCGUGCGAAGUCGCAAGACGAUGUAUACGGACUGACGCCUGCCCGGUGCUGGAAGGUUAAGAGGACCGGUCAACCACGCAAGUGGUGAAGCUGAGAAUUUAAGCCCCAGUAAACGGCGGUGGUAACUAUAACCAUCCUAAGGUAGCGAAAUUCCUUGUCGGGUAAGUUCCGACCUGCACGAAUGGCGUAACGACUUCUCAACUGUCUCAACCAUAGACUCGGCGAAAUUGCACUACGAGUAAAGAUGCUCGUUACGCGCGGCAGGACGAAAAGACCCCGGGACCUUCACUACAACUUGGUAUUGGAGUUCGUUACGGUUUGUGUAGGAUAGGUGGGAGACUGUGAAGCGCACACGCCAGUGUGUGUGGAGUCAUUGUUGAAAUACCACUCUGAUCGUAUUGGGCUUCUAACCUCGAACCGUAUAUCCGGUUCAGGAACAGUGCCUGGUGGGUAGUUUAACUGGGGCGGUUGCCUCCUAAAAUGUAACGGAGGCGCCCAAAGGUUCCCUCAACCUGGACGGCAAUCAGGUGUUGAGUGUAAGUGCACAAGGGAGCUUGACUGCGAGACAUACAUGUCGAGCAGGGACGAAAGUCGGGACUAGUGAUCCGGCACCCCCGAGUGGAAGGGGUGUCGCUCAACGGAUAAAAGGUACCCCGGGGAUAACAGGCUGAUCUUCCCCAAGAGUCCAUAUCGACGGGAUGGUUUGGCACCUCGAUGUCGGCUCGUCGCAUCCUGGGGCUGGAGCAGGUCCCAAGGGUUGGGCUGUUCGCCCAUUAAAGCGGCACGCGAGCUGGGUUUAGAACGUCGUGAGACAGUUCGGUCUCUAUCCGCCGCGCGCGUCAGAAGCUUGAGGAAACCUGUCCCUAGUACGAGAGGACCGGGACGGACGAACCUCUGGUCUACCAGUUGUCCCACCAGGGGCACUGCUGGAUAGCUACGUUCGGACAGGAUAACCGCUGAAAGCAUCUAAGCGGGAAACCUUCUCCAAGACCAGGCUUCUCACCCAUUAAGUGGGAUAAGGCCCCCCGCAGACCACGGGAUUGAUAGACCAGACCUAGAAACCCAGCAAUGGGCGCAGGGAACUGGCACUAACCGGCCGAAAACUUACACAC
rnacentral:rRNA from 1 species